CCCACUUGUGCCUGCUAAACUGGUAUCAGUAUGUUGAUUUAGUGCUGGCUCAGUUCAGCAGGAACAGGUGUG
ncrna:Danio rerio (zebrafish) microRNA dre-mir-24 precursor (dre-mir-24-4)